UACGUAGGGUCCAAGCGUUGUCCGGAUUUAUUGGGCGUAAAGAGUUCGUAGGUGGUUGCUUAAGUCUGAUGUUAAAUACCGAAGCUUAACUUCGGCAUGGCAUUGGAAACUGGGCGGCUGGAGUCCGUCAGAGGUAACUGGAAUUCCUGGUGUAGCGGUGAAAUGCGUAGAUAUCAGGAGGAACACCGGUGGCGAAGGCGACGUCCUGGACCGGCAUUGACGCUGAGGCGCGAAAGCCAGGGGAGCAAACGGG
rnacentral:rRNA from 1 species